rnacentral:rRNA from 1 species
AUGAAUCUUCUAUGCUGGAAUUGUCGAGGUAUUGGCAACGCCCCAACAAUUCAAGAGCUUCGAGAACUCGCGAUUAAGUUUGCCCCGAAGGUGCUUUGCAUUGUAGAGACUUAGAUUAGUAGAGCUCGAGCUGAAAAAAUAACAGGCACUAUAGGUUAUGAUAAUUCUUUUGGUGUUGAUCCCACUGGUCGUAGUGGUGGACUAUGUAUUUUU